rfam:Glossina austeni unplaced genomic scaffold Scaffold183, whole genome shotgun sequence.
GAGGUAGUUUUUAGUACGUAGAAAUCGUGCAUGCUGCUGCUAAAGAACCAGCAGUAUCUUUUGAAGAUUUUCUACCCCC